rnacentral:rRNA from 1 species
GAUGAACGCUAGCUACAGGCUUAACACAUGCAAGUCGAGGGGCAGCAUGAACUUAGCUUGCUAAGUUUGAUGGCGACCGGCGCACGGGUGAGUAACACGUAUCCAACCUGCCGAUGACUCGGGGAUAGCCUUUCGAAAGAAAGAUUAAUACCCGAUGGCAUAGUUCUUCCGCAUGGUAGAACUAUUAAAGAAUUUCGGUCAUCGAUGGGGAUGCGUUCCAUUAGGUUGUUGGCGGGGUAACGGCCCACCAAGCCUUCGAUGGAUAGGGGUUCUGAGAGGAAGGUCCCCCACAUUGGAACUGAGACACGGUCCAAACUCCUACGGGAGGCAGCAGUGAGGAAUAUUGGUCAAUGGACGAGAGUCUGAACCAGCCAAGUAGCGUGAAGGAUGACUGCCCUAUGGGUUGUAAACUUCUUUUAUACGGGAAUAAAGUGAGGCACGGGUGCCUUUUUGUAUGUACCGUAUGAAUAAGGAUCGGCUAACUCCGUG